UAGGGAAUCUUCGGCAAUGGACGAAAGUCUGACCGAGCAACGCCGCGUGAGUGAAGAAGGUUUUCGGAUCGUAAAACUCUGUUGGUAGAGAAGAACGUUGGUGAGAGUGGAAAGCUCAUCAAGUGACGGUAACUACCCAGGAAGGGACGGCUAACUACGUGUCAG
rnacentral:rRNA from 1 species